rfam:Triticum aestivum genome assembly, contig: Triticum_aestivum_CS42_TGACv1_scaffold_456820_5DS
AAAGUACUCCCUUCGCUCGGAAUUACUUGUCAUAAAAAUGGAUGUAUCUACAACUAAAAUACAUCUAGAUACAUUCAUUUUGUGGACGAGUAAUUCCGAACGGAGGGAGUAAUUC